rnacentral:rRNA from 1 species
CAGUCGUACCUGCGGGUAAUCAGCCUUUUGGGCAUGAUUCUGUGGAGCGUGAGGAGUUAAACGCCUUCAUGCCUGCAUACUUCGUGCUCUUGGGUUACUUGCCCGUGUGGUAGGUUAACAUCAAUUUCGGACGUCAACAAAAUGAUUGGAGGAAUGUAGCUUUGAUUCUCGUAUCGAAGUGUUA